UUGUUCCAGUCACCGGCAGCUGUGGUUGCUGGGGCAGCUCUCCAGGCUCCUGCUUUAUUAUCACCUUUUCAUAAGGAAAACUGGAGUAAACAAACUGCUUUGUGCUUCAAAAGAAAUCAUCAUCUGCAAGCAUCGGUCUUCAGAGAGAGAAGCAUCUGGAAUGGACUCAAGUAACUGUUUAAUUGGUGAAGAAGCUUUCACUGGCGCUGGUAUACUUAGUGGUAAUGGUAAAGACGUGGGGACAUCAGAAAGGUCAGAUUCAGAAGACUGGGAAAAGAGAUAACCCUCGCCAAGAGAAUGCCGAUGUAGCUCAACAUCCACUACCUUCCAGAAAGAGUGCUGAACUCUAACCACUAGAUUACACUGCCAUCUAUACUGCAGAAAACAGUCAGCUAAGCACAACAGGAAGGAGUUUACCCAACUAUGGCUAAAAGUGAACAAGUCAUAAAAUCAUUGUGAAUCAAGAGGAUAGUUCAUUUGCUGGCCACUGACUUCACUAUUCUCUAUUUUGACUAUUACCUCUAAAUUCAUUCCUUUCUGUAACUCAA